rnacentral:rRNA from 1 species
AACGAACGCUGGCGGCAUGCCUAACACAUGCAAGUCGAACGAGACCUCCGGGUCUAGUGGCGCACGGGUGCGUAACGCGUGGGAACCUGCCCUUAGGUUCGGAAUAACUCCCCGAAAGGGGUGCUAAUACCGGAUAAUGUCUUCGGACCAAAGAUUUAUCGCCUUUGGAUGGGCCCGCGUUGGAUUAGCUUGUUGGUAGGGUAAUAGCCUACCAAGGGGACGAUCCAUAGCUGGUCUGAGAGGAUGAUCAGCCACACUGGGAGUGAGACACGGCCCAGAAUCCUACGGGAGGCAGCAGUGGGGAAUAUUGGACAAUGGGGGAAAGGCUGAUCCAGCAAUGCCGCGUGAGUGAUGAAGGCCGUAGGGUUGUAAAGCUCUUUUACCCGGGAUGAUAAUGACGGUACCGGGAGAAUAAGCUCCGGCUAACUACGUG